UUAAAUUGAAGAGUUUGAUCAUGGCUCAGAUUGAACGCUGGCGGCAGGCCUAACACAUGCAAGUCGAACGGUAACAGGAAUCAGCUUGCUGAUUCGCUGACGAGUGGCGGACGGGUGAGUAAUGUCUGGGAAACUGCCUGAUGGAGGGGGAUAACUACUGGAAACGGUAGCUAAUACCGCAUAACGUCGCAAGACCAAAGAGGGGGACCUUCGGGCCUCUUGCCAUCGGAUGUGCCCAGAUGGGAUUAGCUAGUAGGUGGGGUAACGGCUCACCUAGGCGACGAUCCCUAGCUGGUCUGAGAGGAUGACCAGCCACACUGGAACUGAGACACGGUCCAGACUCCUACGGGAGGCA
rnacentral:rRNA from 1 species